GUCAAUCUGUUAGAAGUUUGCUUGCUACCAAAUAUUCCUCUCUCUAACCUCUGUUCGUUUUCGGCUUGUCGCCUGAUUUCGCUUGCUUAGUGUGCCACAUAAGACUGAAACUUCUCUUCAGGACAUACCAAGAUGCAGUUUCAUGUUAGAACUAUAUAUAUUAAGUUCAUAAUAAUGCAUUUGUCGUGUUCAGGAGCCUCCAGUGAGCUCAUCCACUCUUUAUUUUUCUAUCCCUUCCUUUUAAUGUUUAAUUUUGUUGGCCUUUCUUGGGAAUAUUUAUAUGUUUGAAUCAUAUUGAUAAGAAUGCACAUGUCUGUACUUGAUGCAGAUCUCUGUAAUUUUAAUAUGUGCUCAAAAGAAUAAACUGACCUCCCUGGUAAUUGUAUCAUAAGAGGUGUCUCUGGGCAUCUAAGCUUUUGUUUCAGAUUAUGAUAGAUUAUUAUUUUUACUUUUGUACCUAUGCUUUCCAUUAUGGUAGAAUAGUAAACUUGACCGUGCGUUCCAAUGGGAUUGAUUUUUGUCGAGAAUAUGCCUAUUUGGUACCCUACCCAAAAUCCCAAUAAUCCUGUUGUGACUCGACGAACCAAACCGUCUUACCUAUUGAAAGAAAACCCCGUUCACCCGGUCCCUCUGUCCUCGCCACCAACCGUCGGGAGCACUUCCACGGCACAACACCCCUUCUAUGCACCUGUGCCUCGCCUCCUAGCCCUCCACCUUCCGUCGACGUUGCCCCAGUUCCUGCUCGCCAGCACCACCCUGCCCUCCCUUCUCCAGGUGAACGGGGAUUCCGCUGUCAGAAGUGUAAGACAGACAACAUAUAUGACGAGAUGAAGUCAAAUGUGAUGAUUGUUAUGUUUUCUGUAAUAACUAAAGUCAAGAAAAGGCAAUCAAGUCAAAAACACUUAUAAUACCCCAACAUUUGUUAGGUGAUGUUGUUUGUUGAGUUUAGUGAAGGAGAAUGCAGUUUUAGAAAUAAAAAAUGUGUGCUCCUGCCCCAUGAUAUUGAUUAAUUUUAAGUUGUGCCGCCUUUCCUCCUGUAGGAAAUGAUGUUCGGUUUGCUUUUCUCAUGUACGCGCCCAUCCAUCUCUGGCCCCUUCCAAACGGGCGGCAGGUCGUAGACGAGGACCGGGUGACAACUACGAGUUAGAUGUGGCUGCCACCGAGAAACGAUAUCGUCUUCAAUGGCGCAAGCCCCUCCACAGCGCAAGUACUCGGACGGAUAGAGAGGGAAGGGCGUGUAUGGAGGCAAGCAGGGCUCUUGAAAGGGGAUUUGGAUGGAGUGUUUGCGGGGCUCGCAAGGUGGGGUUUGGGGAAGUUUUGGAUGGGCUGAUAUACUAACCUUGCGGAGAACAAGAAGGUGGAUGAUGGUGUAAAUUUGAGGUGCUGCUGGCUGGUUCUUAGCUUGUGUGACUGAAGAAGCUGCAACACUUGCAAGUGUGGAGGGAGCAUGCAGCUGCCAAGACUCACAUGGUUUUUGUGACGUCUCUCAUUUAGUUCAGCUGCUGAAAAAGAAGAGCAGAGAAGGACGGCGUCUGCAAGUAUCAGGAUGGAUGGAUGGAUGAAUUCCUUGGCGUAGUUAAUGACAGUAGGUUCUUAUUUCUUUUCUAGAGGAGGAGAUAGAUCCUCGGUGUGUCCUUUUGUUUCUUGUUAUGGAACAAACAACCAAACAAACAUACUAUUGUGUACGUACAUAACAAACUUUGCGAAUUCUCAAGAGGCUGAUUCUUUGUUGAUC